CCUACGGGGGGCAGCAGUGGGGGAUAUUGCACAAUGGGGGGAACCCUGAUGCAGCGACGCCGCGUGGGUGAAGGAGUGCUUCGGCAUGUAAAGCCCUAUCAGCAGGGAAGAAGAAAGACGGUACCUGACUAAGAAGCCCCGGCUAACUACGUGCCAGCAGCCGCGGUAAUACGUAGGGGGCAAGCGUUAUCCGGAUUUAUUGGGUUUAAAGGGUUCGCUGGCGGAAGAUCAAGUCAGCGUUAAAAUUGAGAGGCUCAACCUAUUCGAGCCGUUGAAACUGGUUUUCUUGAGUGAGCGAGAGGUAUGCGGAAUGCGUGGUGUAGCGGUGAAAUGCAUAGAUAUCACGCAGAACUCCGAUUGCGAAGGCAGCAUACCGGCGCUCAACUGACGCUCAUGCACGAAAGUGUGGGUAUCGAACAGGAUUAGAUACCCCAGUAGUC
rnacentral:rRNA from 1 species